rnacentral:lncRNA from 10 species
GUCUUGGGCCGCCUGAAGAUAUUAUUUCCCCCUGAUGCUUUCCUGAAAGCUCCUGCAAUCAACUACAGGUCAGAAUGUUCGUCUCCAAGACAGGACUCCCUCUGAGACUCACAGAAAAGACUAUGACAGGUACUCUGGUUAUAGGCUUCUGAUGAUAUUGCUUAAAUAACUUUAAGACCAUACACUUGACUCAGUUAAGGUCUCCAGAAGUCCGGUUGGGAACCUGAUGGGUUCAUGACACUGCUAACUCAAGAUCCACAAGACUGGAAUUGAUUACAUGGCACUGAAUGAACUGAUGAAAAUUGAUUAUAAUUGUAUAGCUUUUUGGAGCAUUGCUGGUUAAUAUUCUAGUUUCUGGAUUUAAGAAAUCUCUUUCUCUUACUCUAACUGUAACUUACAACAAUUUAGUAGAUUAUACUUUUGUAAACAGAAAUGAAGCGUUUAUCUUUUUUUCUUGCCUGAUUUUUCCAGAAUUUUGAAAUCCUUACUGAAUACUCUUAUUUCCACGAUGAUAUAGUUGUUAGCAAAAGUCCAAUAAGAAUCUAUUCACC